rnacentral:rRNA from 1 species
CCUACGGGAGGCAGCAGUGGGGAAUAUUGCGCAAUGGGCGAAAGCCUGACGCAGCGACGCCGCGUGAGGGAUGAAGGUCUUCGGAUCGUAAACCUCUGUCAGCAGGGAAGAACGGUCACUGUGCUAAUCAGCAGUGAAUUGACGGUACCUGCAAAGGAAGCACCGGCUAACUCCGUGCCAGCAGCCGCGGUAAUACGGAGGGUGCGGGCGUUAAUCGGAAUUACUGGGCGUAAAGCGGUCGUAGGCGGUAUGGCAAGUCAAGGGUGAAAGCCCCGCGCUCAACGUGGGAACUGCCCUUGAAACUGGGAAACUGGAGUGUGGGAGAGGAUAGUGGAAUUCCAGGUGUAGGAGUGAAAUCCGUAGAUAUCUGGAGGAACAUCAGUGGCGAAGGCGACUAUCUGGCACAUAACUGACGCUGAGGAGCGAAAGCGUGGGUAGCAAACAGGAUUAGAUACCCUAGUAGUC